rnacentral:rRNA from 1 species
GUACACUCCUGCGGGAGGCAGCAGUGGGGAAUAUUGGACAAUGGGCGCAAGCCUGAUCCAGCCAUGCCGCGUGAGUGAUGAAGGCCCUAGGGUUGUAAAGCUCUUUCACCGGUGAAGAUAAUGACGGUAACCGGAGAAGAAGCCCCGGCUAACUUCGUGCCAGCAGCCGCGGUAAUACGAAGGGGGCUAGCGUUGUUCGGAUUUACUGGGCGUAAAGCGCACGUAGGCGGACUAUUAAGUCAGGGGUGAAAUCCCGGGGCUCAACCCCGGAACUGCCUUUGAUACUGGUAGUCUUGAGUUCGAGAGAGGUGAGUGGAAUUCCGAGUGUAGAGGUGAAAUUCGUAGAUAUUCGGAGGAACACCAGUGGCGAAGGCGGCUCACUGGCUCGAUACUGACGCUGAGGUGCGAAAGCGUGGGGAGCAAACAGGAUUAGAAACCCCUGUAGUCC